rnacentral:rRNA from 1 species
GACGAACGCUGGCGGCGUGCUUAACACAUGCAAGUCGAGCGGAGCGGCGAACGGGUGAGGAACGCGUGAGUAACUGCCCCCCUCUCUGGGAUAACAAUUGGAAACGGCUGCUAAUACCGGCUAGUGGGGGAUGACUCGCGUCCUAUCAGCUUGUUGGUGGGGUAGUGGCCUACCAAGGCGACGACGGGUAGCCGGCCUGAGCGGGCGACCGGCCACAUUGGGCUGGGAUACGGCCCAAGCUCCUACGGGAGGCAGAAGUGGGGAAUCUUGCACAAGGGGGGAACCUGUGAUGCAGCAGCGUCGCGUGCGGGAUGACGGCAUUCGGGUUGUAAACCGCUAUCAGCCAUGACGCGGUAUUGGCAGAAGAAGCACCGGCUAACUACGUGCCAGCAGCCGCGGUAAUUC